CGUCUCUCCAUCUGCGUCUUUUGUCAGUGAUAUUAGUCGUCCUGAAAACCUCAUCAUGAUUCUCUUCAUCUCCCUCCAGUGUUUGUCGUCUUCAGAUUCACCAUCGUUCGCUGUCAAACUCGAAAGGCUGUGUUGAGUGGCCAGUAUGCCAAUAACCUUGUCUACGAUAUUUAAAGGGAGGGUAUCCUGGUGAUUGAGGGAAGAGGAUAUCGCGUAAUUGGGGUCUGAACAGCCAUCAAUCAGUGGUUCAGUAGGGUAGGUGUAUGAGAUACUUACAGCCAGGGAACGCAUACUCCGAAUCCUUCAGUCCACCACGCCUACUAGUGCCCAGCAACUCCUGUAAAUCGCAUUUAUUCCACAGACGGUAUACACUGCAGUACUCUUUGACAGAAUCUGCUGAACCAUAUUGGCAUAGGGAUAAUGAAGGUUCGCCACAUGAGAGCCAAAAUCGCCGUAGUAUCGUUCCAUCGCAAACUGCUAUGAGACCCAAACUGGCCCCUAUCGCCUGAAAAUAAUCGGCGAUGUGAAGGAGCAUAUGGAUCUGUGACGAGCAAAGGUAGAGAGGGUUGAAUCAUCCUUGUAGUAUAACCUUCGUUGUGAGUUAUUAGCCGCUAAUGAUAAUAAACAAUUAAUAGUAAACAACGGAGCAACUCACUUCUCGUAAUCCUUCGCCCACCGUGCCCAAUCCCUCUCUAUACCAGGCAGCCUAUCUCUACCAGUAGUACCUACUAGUGUAUGCCAGCCUAUUACUACACCUACCUGCUACAUCUGCGACACUCUCUUUGCACAUAACCAUCAUCCCUACGGGAGGGUAUAAUCCACAUAGCCAGCAGGGAGUGCUCGUGAUUGGGACUAACCCACCCUUG
rnacentral:sRNA from 1 species